rnacentral:rRNA from 1 species
CUACGGGUCGCUGCAGUGGGGAAUAUUGCACAAUGGAGGGAACUCUGAUGCAGCAACGCCGCGUGGAGGAUGACGCAUUUCGGUGUGUAAACUCCUUUUAUAUAGGAAGAUAAUGACGGUACUAUAUGAAUAAGCACCGGCUAACUCCGUGCCAGCAGCCGCGGUAAUACGGAUGGUGCAAGCGUUACUCGGAAUCACUGGGCGUAAAGCGCAUGCAGGCGGUUAAAUAAGUUGGAAGUGAAAUCCUAUGGCUCAACCAUAGAACUGCUUCCAAAACUGUUUAACUAGAGUCUGGGAGGGGAAGAUGGAAUUAGUAGUGUAGGGGUAAAAUCCGUAGAGAUUACUAGGAAUACCAAAAGCGAAGGCGAUCUUCUGGAACAGUACUGACGCUGAGAUGCGAAAGCGUGGGGAGCAAACAGGAUUAGAUACCCUCGUAGUC